rnacentral:snRNA from 1 species
UUUCUAGAUACCUGAAGGUAAGU